UUUAAUUUCUGUGCGUAAACUUUGUUAGAUCACACUCAUGAAUUCUUGAUGGUUCCAAGAAAAGUAUAAACAAACUACUUGGAUGCAUCUCUUGAGAUAUAUAGAUAGAUUAUAUUCUGAGCUUCUUAAACAUUUCGUUCGCUGUGUUUAAUCGAUCGAUCAAUCUUCCUUCAAUAUAAUGGCUAUUUCUCUUGUCACUUUACUAAAUACAAUAGACUUCCAUUUUCUACAACCUCUUCCUUGUUUGAGUGUUGAUGAUAGAGAAAUAAUAAUGAUCAGAUCUUUGUGUAAGAAGCUCCGAUUUUUGCAAGCCUUUUUGGAGGAUUCUCAGAAGAAGAACAUCAACUGCCCCGCAUGGAGAGGCUUGGAGACAGAGAUCAGAGAUGUAGCUGCUGAAGCGGAGAGCAAAAUUGAAUUAGAAUUAUAUCAACUCUACAACGAGGAAGAUGCCCCUGUUGAGCCUUAUCAGAGUCUUCAUCAGACCUUGCAACAAGUAACGCGAGACAUUGAAUCUCUUGAAGGGAGGAUUAUUCAGAUUCAGAUUGAGAGCAAUCGCAAUCACUCUGUAGAGCCGCCAAGAAGAAACGCAGCAAUAGAGAAUAUCAAAGCUGAUUGCUCCUCCAAACGUUCUUCAGAGCCCAACAAUGUAAUGGUAGGAUGCGACGAUGAGUUUGAAACCAUCAAGCACAAGCUCAUUUCAGAUUCAAAAAACCUGGAAGUCAUCUCAAUCACAGGGAUGGGAGGCAUCGGUAAGACUACUUUAGCUCAAAGAGUCUACAAAGAUGAAGCUGCAAUUGCUUCUUAUUUUGACAUUCGAGCAUGGACUACUGUAUCUCAAGAACACAAUCUUAGAGAAAUACUCUGUGACCUUCUCGGUUCCAAUGACACCAACCUAGAUGUCUCUCAUCUAGAAAGUAAACUACGCCAAAAGUUGUUGGGUCAGAGAUAUCUCAUUGUUAUAGAUGAUAUAUGGAGCAUUCAAGCAUGGGAUGCCAUUCAUAGAUGUUUCCCAGAAGAAGAUUUCAGAAGUCGAAUAUUACUGACUACACAGCUCAAACAGGUGGCUAACUAUGUUAGUUCUGGUAACAAUCUUUAUUCCAUGCGGCUUUUAAAUCUCGAUGAAAGCUGGGAUUUAUUUUACAAGAGAGUAUUUGUAGAAAAAAGAUUUCCCCUUGAAUUUGAGAAAGUUGGUAGAUGUAUUGUUGAAAAAUGUCAAGGAUUACCUCUAACCAUUAUAGUGGUUGCUGGGCUUCUUUCCUCAUCCAACAAGCCAUCACUAAAUCAGUGGGAGAAUGUUGUUGCAAAUUUGGAUCCUUUGCUUAACACUGAUCCCGAAAUGAAAUGUUCAAAAAUACUCUCACUAAGUUACAACCACUUGCCUCUGCAUUUGAAAACUUGUUUUUUAUACUUUGGAAUUUUCUCAGAAGAUGAGGCGAUUAAAGUGAAAGAGCUGAUUAAGCUAUGGAUUGCAGAGGGAUUCUUAAAGAUAGAGUUGAAUAAAAGCAUGGAAGAUGUGGCAUAUGAUUACUUACAGGAUCUUGUGGACAGAAGUUUAGUUCAAAUUGAUAAGUGGAGUUGUUUUGACAACAAAAUAAAGUAUUGUAAGCUCCAUGAUGUGCUGCAUAGCUUUAGCUUGAGAGAGGCUCAGAGGGCGAAGCUUUUGUUUGUUAUAAAGGGGAAUAAUAAUGUGCAUGAGCUUGGAUUAGCAACAAGCAGCUCGGACCGAAAAGCUUGCUGUCGGGUCGUUAGUGAUCAAUUAAGCAAUGAGCCAAUUAAUCCAUCAAGGUAUACGAGUCAUACAUCCCAUGAAUUGCGUUCUUUCCAAUAUCAUCAAGGUAUAGGUAUUUAUUACCGCAAGUUCAUAAUACUUCCCAAUUCUAAACUGCUAAGGGUGUUGGACAUUCGUCAAUAUAGGCUAAAUGACCUACCAAGGGAAAUAGAAGAUCUUGUUCAUUUAAGAUACUUAGCCCUAAGGAUUAGACUGAAAACUCAAUAUACUAUUGCCUUUAUUGAUCACCAGUGGUGUAAGCUUCGAUGUUUGCAAACUAUCAUUAUUGAUGGUUGUUGGCCUUGUUUUUCACCAAAUAAUAUUUUGGGUAUGCCACAAAUAAGGCAUGUUCAUUUCUCCAAACGAACUCUUCAUCACUUCCAUCUCCUAAAGUUGGUUCAAGAAAAUCUACAAACUCUAUCUUGGUUGAGUCUACCUCAUCGUUUGCGAACUGAGCCAGACUUCAAAGGGAUUCCAAACGUAAAGGAACUUGGAAUUCAGUUAAUGGACUAUAAGGAUUGUUACGACAUGCAUUCUUUAAGUAAAGAAACUUGGGAUUUGCUACCACCUAUUUCAAUGGAAGGUCUUCUCAAAUUGAAUCAGCUGGAGAACUUAAAAUUUAAAACAAAUCAAUGGUCUCCGAUAUGUGACAUCAAACUUCAAAAAGUUUUUCCACCAAAUCUCAAGAAAUUGACCUUCAAAAGAACAUAUUUUUCAUGGGAGGAUAUGACUAUUAUUCACACAUUGCCUAACCUUGAGGUUCUAAAAUUGAGAUACAAUGCUUUCUGUGGCCCAGAGUGGAAAGCAACAGGAAAUGGCUUCUGCAAAUUAAAGUAUUUGGAAGUUACUGGACAUUCAACCCUCGAGCAUUGGAGUGUGGAUGCUGAUCAUUUCCCCAUUCUUGAAUGCAUAUUUCUUAAUGACUGUGAUCAUUUGGUGGAAUUUCCAACUGGUUUUGGUGAGAUUAACACAUUGCAGUUAAUUCAUUUAAAGCAUUGUUCGUCCAGCCUUGUGACUUCUGCUAAAAAUAUUCAAGAAGACCGGCGGGAUUUUGGUGACGAUAAACUUGUUCUCCGUGUAUUUUAUACUCUCCCAGAGCCAAAGGUAAUAUUUUCUAAUUUAAUUUGCAAACUAGCAAUGUUUCUGAGCCUGCCUUGUGAUUCAGUGUGUUGGUUAUUUUCUUUCAACUUUAUUCUCAUUUAUUCCCUUCAUGUUUCUUCUACUUCCAAAAAUGUUGAAUAUUCUCCAACCCUAAGCCCUGCCCCGACAAAACAUGUGGGAGGAGAUAAAUCACAGUAACUUAGUGGCUAACAAUAAUCAUGUUUCUUAUUUUCUAGGAAUUUAUUGAACGUAAUAGUUUUUCUUGAUGGAUGGAACCUGAUACCUCUACUAAAUGGAGCGCAUGCGGCCUUUACCCCAAUUGUGUUAUAGGUCGAAAUUGAGAGGGGAAGAUCACAGGGUGACAAAACAGGUACUGUAUAUAUGAGUGUGAUGUAUUUGUGAAGAUAAAAGUUUGGAAAAUAAAUUACGGACUAUAUUCAUUAUUUAACUUUUGUUUUUAUGAUGUAAACAAAACGUAUGCACAAUAAAAAAUUUUGUGUGCACUAAUUUAAUUGAUAUAAUAAUAUAAAACUGGUUGGCUCGUUGAA